GCAAUCCACUCCAGUUUUCUUGCCUGGAGAAUCGCCAUGGACAGAGAAGCAGGGUGGGCUCCAGUCCAUGGCAUCCCAAAGAGUGGGACACAGCUGAGCGACUAAGCCCAGGACAUAUGGGUUGCCGACCUGUGGGUGUGAGUCUUGACUAUACCCCUUCUCCACCCUUCCUGUCCAUCUUACCGUGUCUCCUUCUUCAUAUCUGUAGUUGUGGAAGAUCUUGUCUGCUCAUCUUUCAGGUCAUUCUCAUCAAUAGCUUCUCUGUAUAUAGUUGUAAUUUUGGUGUGCCCAAGGGAGGAAGUAAGCUCAGAGUUUUCUUAUGCUGUUAUCUUGGCUACUCUCUGAGUAAAUAUCUUAGAUAGUGAGACAUGUACAACAUUAUUUCAUUUCAUGCAUAAUGUCAAAUGCUGAAUAUUUGUAAUUCUUCCCCCUCAGACAGGAGCUUGCAAGACGCAUGGGAGUGACUGAAGAUUGAAUGCAGGUGUGGUUUAAUCAUAGAAGGGCCAAGUGGAGGAAAUAUCAGAGAGCACUGAGGUUCAGAGAUGCGCCGCCCCUGCUCCCGGCCCACCGUGUGGUCAGCAACAGGGGUGGACCCUGCAACACCGUCCUCAUUCAGGAGCUGAAUUGUGUCUGGGUCCUUCUGGAGCCGAUAACCCUGGAGCUGAUGCCCUUGCCGCCCGUGCCCCCCGUGCCCCCCUUGAUGCUGCCCGUGCCGCCCUUGAUGCCCAUGCUGCCCUUACCCCCUCUGUUUCUGCCUCCUCUGCCCUGGAUUCUACCACCCUCCAUUCACUCCAGCUGCCCUCACGGCCUUGCCUGGUCCCCUACCACCAGUGGCCUUUCUGUAGCCCCGUUUCCUCUUGAAUGGUCUCCAUGACAGCCUUGUCGAAAGUGCCUUUGAGCCAGAUUGAAGUUCUGAUAUCUCAGCAUCAAGCACACAGGGCCUGCCAAGUGCCUGCCAAGUGUGCUACAUACACGUGCCGAGUCAUUGACCCACUAUUUUAGGGCACGUUUUCUGUGUUUUCAAUAAAGUUGUGAAUUCUCUGCAUA